GCGCCGGUGGUGUAAGUCGAACAUCGCUGCCCGGAAACAGAAGAUGCGGGUUCGAGUCCCGCCUGGCGCA
rnacentral:tRNA from 1 species